AUACCUUUCUCGGCCUUUUGGCUAAGAUCAAGUGUAGUGUCUGUUCUUAUCAGUUUAAUAUUUGAUAUGUGAGUCAUCAACCCACAUGAUAUUAACUCAAUUUUUUAAGGGGGAAUGUCUACUAUGAUAGCUUGCUAUCGGGGCCUUUACUACGUGUCGCCUUGGUGUUGCACUACUGGCUUGGCCUGGCGCAUCCCAC